AGAGUUUGAUCCUGGCUCAGGACGAACGCUGGCGGCGUGCCUAAUACAUGCAAGUCGAACGAGAGCGACCGGUGCUUGCACUGGUCAAUCUAGUGGCGAACGGGUGAGUAACACGUGGGUAACCUGCCCAUCAGAGGGGGAUAACAUUCGGAAACGGAUGCUAAAACCGCAUAGGUCCUUUAACCGCAUGGUUGAAGGAGGAAAAGAGGCGCAAGCUUCUGCUGAUGGAUGGACCCGCGGUGCAUUAGCUAGUUGGUGAGGUAACGGCUCACCAAGGCCGUGAUGCAUAGCCGACCUGAGAGGGUGAUCGGCCACAUUGGGACUGAGACGCGGCCCAAACUCCUACGGGAGGCAGCAGUAGGGAAUCUUCCGCAAUGGACGCAAGUCUGACGGAGCAACGCCGCGUGAGUGAAGAAGGUUUUCGGAUCGUAAAACUCUGUUGUUAGAGAAGAACAAGUGCUAGAGUAACUGUUAGCGCCUUGACGGUAUCUAACCAGAAAGCCACGGCUAACUACGUGCCAGCAGCCGCGGUAAUACGUAGGUGGCAAGCGUUGUCCGGAUUUAUUGGGCGUAAAGCGAGCGCAGGCGGUUCCUUAAGUCUGAUGUGAAAGCCCCCGGCUCAACCGGGGAGGGUCAUUGGAAACUGGGGAACUUGAGUGCAGAAGAGGAGAGUGGAAUUCCAUGUGUAGCGGUGAAAUGCGUAGAUAUAUGGAGGAACACCAGUGGCGAAGGCGACUCUCUGGUCUGUAACUGACGCUGAGGCUCGAAAGCGUGGGUAGCAAACAGGAUUAGAUACCCUGGUAGUCCACGCCGUAAACG
rnacentral:rRNA from 1 species